UACGGAGGGUGCAAGCGUUAUCCGGAUUUACUGGGUUUAAAGGGUGCGUAGGUGGGUCUGUAAGUCAGUGGUGAAAUCUCCGAGCUUAACUCGGAAACUGCCAUUGAUACUAUAGAUCUUGAAUUAUCUGGAGGUGAGCGGAAUAUGUCAUGUAGCGGUGAAAUGCAUAGAUAUGUCACAGAACACCGAUUGCGAAGGCAGCUUACUAUGGUUUUUAUUGACGCUGAGGCACGAAAGCGUGGGGAUCAAACAGG
rnacentral:rRNA from 1 species